rnacentral:lncRNA from 1 species
AUGCUCCCUGGGAACUCUUCUCUUAUUCCCUCCCCAUUCGAUGUUACCCUCUCGACAUGGGACGUGCUUGGCCAUGUUCUGUGCUCCAGGGACUGUAGUGAGGCCCAGCACUGUGAAAGGGAUAAGACAUGGUCACUGUUCAAGGAACUCACAAUCUACAACCUGGAAGCACAUGACACGGCUGGCUUUGUGAAAGUGUUGCGACAAAACUGUGUGAACACAGAAGAUGAAAACACAGAGCAGCAGGUGAGGGAGAGCUUCCUGGAAGAGGUGUCACCUGCACCAAGCAUUAAAGGUAGGGGAAGAGCAGGCAGUGUGAACAUGGAUUCUUUGCACUCACCAAUGAAGAGACAUGAUGUGCACAGAAAAUAGUGAGAAGUAGGAGAAUUUGUCCAAUGGCAGAGUGCUACGUUCAUUGGCUCUGACAGCUAUAUCUGGCUCAGAUAACUGGAAUUCUGCAUUCUCUUCAGAAUAACUUCUAACAAGAAGUAGGGGCAAUAAGAUACAUGCAAAAGAGGGAGAAUGGAAGAAAAAGUACACUUCUCCUGGUCCACACCGUGCCAGAGACCAUGCUGAGCCCUUUUCAUUUGUUGUCUCAUACAAUAAGAUGCAAUAACAUGUGCAAAUUGUGGCUGGUAUUAUCCCAAUAAAACAUGGAUACAUUUUUAAAACGUGCCAUGCUUGCACAGAGAACUAUGAGCCUAUUUUUUCCAUUAUAAUUUUUGUGUAAAC